rnacentral:rRNA from 1 species
UACGUAGGGUGCAAGCGUUAAUCGGAAUUACUGGGCGUAAAGCGUGCGCAGGCGGUUCGCUAAGACCGAUGUGAAAUCCCCGGGCUUAACCUGGGAACUGCAUUGGUGACUGGCGGGCUAGAGUAUGGCAGAGGGGGGUAGAAUUCCACGUGUAGCAGUGAAAUGCGUAGAGAUGUGGAGGAAUACCGAUGGCGAAGGCAGCCCCCUGGGCCAAUACUGACGCUCAUGCACGAAAGCGUGGGGAGCAAACGGG